rnacentral:lncRNA from 1 species
GACGAUCAUGGCGACUCCCUGCCUCGCAUCGACUCGACAUUUCCAACACCCCGUUUACUCGUAUCGAUGAUCAAUUACGCUCAAUGACGAGAAUAAGCGUUCUUUGGAUACACUUCCGCUUUCGGUGAUAACGAUGCGAAAGAGCAAAUAUAACGGAGCGAAAGAAUCUGAAGAUUUCAAACAUCGCGCCAUUGUUCCACCUGACAUGUACUUCGAAAAGCCAUAGGGUUUUUCCGACUUUUGGAAACAGUUUGCCGCCGUUUCGGAGCAAUUUGACCGAUAACAAUUAAUUUUUUAACAACUUCUUUAUAAAACAAGUAUUAUUACACCCUGUACUUUAUACUUUUAUAAAUAUAAGUAUAUUGAAUAACCCGCACGUUUUCCUCUGUACUUUACGAAUUUUGAAAUUUUGCUUUCGAAUGUUUCAUGUUAAUUUGUUUUCGUUUUUAAUUACAGCACGUCACCGUUUGUUGGUUCCAAAAAACGAAAACUCGCCUCAAAGUGAUAAGCUUCUUUCGAAUUGAUUUAUAUUUCAAUUAUAUUUAACUCGCUCAUCCUUAAAGAAAAGCGCAGAAUUCUCUUUUUUCGAGUUAAUCGGCCAGUCGCUAGUCGUGCGACGCAUGACUUGGUUAAGGAAAAAAACCACGCCUGAAUAUUAAUGAGAUCCGCAAUAAUUCAUCACGUAUUACCGAGGCACCUGGUGCGAAAUUGGUGGUAAAUUAGUCACAGUUCUCAUUUCAGGGACAGUCAACGUUCGCAAAAUCAAACACAAAACAGGCAGAAACCACCUGCAGCAUGAAGAUUAAAAUUGCAACAUUCGCCGUUAUUAAUUGAAUAACCCGAAAUAUACAAGAAAAGAGACAACGUUUGAAAUCAUCCCAUGGUAACAAAAGCGCUAGCACGGCCUCUGAAAAAUAAAACAGCAUACAGUAACAUAAAAGAACAAUUUUCCAGACGUAUAAGAAGCCUGCAUUAAAUGUACAAAUCUAAACGCAUUGUAAACAAUUUUCCUGCUUUUACACCAAUUAAGAACCUUACGAUGAAAUGAUAAAGGGAAGGAGGGGACCAACGUUUGCAGUGAUUUCACGGUCGACAACACCUGUCUCUGAAAAACAAAGGAAGGGAGUACAAGCAGAAAGCAAGAAAAUUAUCCAAUUUGGUGUUUCUAUUACAGCUGGGUCACGAGAAACAGGGUAAAAAGCGGAGGUGCCAGUCACAGGGAUUCGCCUUCAAUGCCUUCGCCCUGCCGAAAGCAAGGUCCGCGGAGUGAGGGGGGAGGGGGCGCUGACGUCAUCGGGUGACGUCAUGUCCACAUUUACGGUCUAUAAAUAUGCAGGUGCGCAGUGUGAGUGGCCCGCGAGCGCGCAGCUAGCCCGCGACGGUCGGCCUGCUGCCUCCAAUCUGGUUGCCACGUAUGCACACGUAUGUACGCGCGUUAAUCUGCACACAGAUACAAAAAUGUAUUUCUCCCUCCGCUUCUGGUCGCCGAUUGGUAACCUAGGCGUCUUUUCCUCUCCCGCGGCCGGUUUCGAGCGUUUUCAAGAAGACGAUGUGUGGAGCGGUGCAAACGGCAUGGGCGUGCGCGCAAGGGAUACGUCACCGAUGUCAUUGUCGCACACUGGACAGGUUUCGGUUCAAUGUCAGUGUCGCUUCGACCUUUUCUAGUUUCAUCUCUUUCCUAGUUUCAGAUGCGGCGGGUAUCGCUUGGGAGGAGAACUGGCGGUUAUGGAGCGCUGAGCAGAGAUUGAUCUAGAUACAGCGAUUAUUUUGCGUUAAGUAGCUGAAUAUGUACGUUACAGGGCAAGAACAGGUUUUGGUAGGUUAGGGGUAGAGGGUUGACGUGAGGGUACUCUUUUUUACUGCCUUCGUAUAAACAUGUGUAUGUAUUAUAAAUAAACUUUAGAAGUGUG